rnacentral:snRNA from 1 species
AGGUGUAGGAUGGCCAUCUGGCUGUGACAUCUGUCACCCCCUUGACCACCAGGGUUGAUUUGGCUGAUCUGGAUAGCUAUAUAGGUGCUCCCUUCCUCCCUCACUGCUCUACGUACAUCCCUCCCAAAGCUGUGGGCUUGGUGGAAGAGGAUAACCUUUCUGGGUAGAGUAUAUUUGGGUAGCUACACUCCCCUACUAGAAAGAACUUGUUUGUUCUCAAGAAUGAAGGUGUAGCUGGGCACAAUGAAACACACCUAUAAUCCUAGUUACUGU